UACGUAGGCAGCGAGCGUUUGUUCGGAAUUACUGGGCGUAAAGAGUGUGUAGGCGGUGCUCUAAGUUCGGUGUGAAAUCUCCCGCUUAACUGGGAGGGUGCGCCGGAAACUGGAGUGCUCGAGCGUGGGAGAGGAAAGCGGAAUUCCUGGUGUAGCGGUGAAAUGCGUAGAUAUCAGGAGGAACACCUGUGGUGUAGACGGCUUUCUGGACCAAGCUGACGCUGAGACACGAAAGCGUGGGUAGCAAACAGG
rnacentral:rRNA from 1 species